GCCUUUUAACCCAAUUAACAUGUUAAGGACCCUUGCAAUCAUUUCUAAUCAAAUUGUGUAAGUUUUGGUGUUUUUGUUAGUAAUUUGAUCACCAAAACAAUCCAAGAAUGAGGGAGAAUUGUAUAUAGUUUAUGGCAAAGCAAUGAAGAGCUCAAAUUCAUGAAGAACCAAGCUUUGGAGCUCCAUAGCCCUUUGCCAAAGUCGUUCAAAGUAUGCAAGGA
rnacentral:lncRNA from 1 species